AUAACGGUCCUAAGGUAGCGAAAUUCCUUGUCGGGUAAGUUCCGACCCGCACGAAUGGUGUAACGAUUUGGGUACUGUCUCAACAAGGGACCCGGCGAAAUUGUAGUAUGUGUGAAGAUGCACAUUACCCGCGAUAGGACGGAAAGACCCCGUAGAGCUUUACUGUAGUUUAACAUUGGAUUCCGGUAACAUAUGCACAGGAUAGGUGGGAGGCGGAGAAGCAGUGAUUUCGGUUGCUGCAGAGCCGACGUUGGGAUACCACUCUUGUGUUACUGGGGUUCUAACCUGUGGCCGUGAUCCGGCACAGGAACAGUGUUAGAUGGGCAGUUUGACUGGGGCGGUCGCCUCCAAAAGAGUAACGGAGGCGUCCAAAGGUUCCCUCAGAAUGGUUGGAAACCAUUCGAAGAGUACAAAGGCAGAAGGGAGCCUGACUGCGAGACCGACAGGUCGAGCAGGGACGAAAGUCGGGCUUAGUGAUCCGGCGGUAUAGAGUGGAAUUGCCGUCGCUCAACGGAUAAAAGCUACCUCGGGGAUAACAGGCUUAUCUCCCCCAAGAGUCCACAUCGACGGGGAGGUUUGGCACCUCGAUGUCGGCUCGUCGCAUCCUGGGGCUGGAUUAGGUCCCAAGGGUUUGGCUGUUCGCCAAUUAAAGCGGCACGCGAGCUGGGUUCAGAACGUCGUGAGACAGUUCGGUCCCUAUCCAUCGUGGGCGCAGGAGAUUUGAGAAGAGCUGUCCUCAGUACGAGAGGACCGGGAUGGACGCACCAAGGGUGUAUCAGUUGUCACGCCAGUGGCACAGCUGGGUAGCCAAGUGCGGAUCGGAUAAACGCUGAAGGCAUCUAAGCGUGAAGCCGACUUCAAGAUAAGAUCUCCCAUCCGCAAGGAGUAAGGCCCCAUGUAGACCACAUGGUUGAUAGGUCGCAGGUGGAAGUGCAGUAAUGUACGCAGCUGAGCGAUACUAAUAGGCCGAGGGCUUGAUCAA
rnacentral:rRNA from 1 species